rnacentral:rRNA from 1 species
GACGAGGGGUCCAAGCGUUGUUCGGAAUCAUUGGGCGUAAAGCGGGUGUAGGCGGCUCUGUAAGUCAGGAGUGAAAGCCCUGAGCUUAACUUAGGAAGUGCUUUUGAUACUGCAGAGCUUGAAUGUGGGAGAGGGUAGUGGAAUUCCAGGUGUAGUGGUGAAAUACGUAGAUAUCUGGAGGAACACCGGUGGCGAAGGCGGCAUCCUGGACCGACACUGACGCUGAGGCGCGAAAGCUAGGGUAGCAAACGGG